CGUAUAUUAAAGUUGUUGCAGUUAAAAAGCUCGUAGUUGGAUUUGUGGCGUAUGGUGUGUUCCGGGCACUUGUUGUCUGAGUAACCUGCUGUUGCCAUCCUUGGGUGGAAUCUGUGUGGCAUUAGGUUGUCGCGCAGGGGAUGCCCAUCGUUUACUGUGAAAAAAUUAGAGUGUUCAAAGCAGGCUUAUGCCGUUGAAUAUAUUAGCAUGGAAUAAUGAGAUAGGACCUUGGNACUAUUUUGUUGGUUUGCGCACCGAGGUAAUGAUUAAUAGGGACAGUUGGGGG
rnacentral:rRNA from 1 species